rnacentral:rRNA from 1 species
GACGAACGCUGGCGGCGUGCCUAAUACAUGCAAGUCGAACGCUUCUUUUUCCACCGGAGCUUGCUCCACCGGAAAAAGAGGAGUGGCGAACGGGUGAAUAACACGUGGGUAACCUGCCCAUCAGAAGGGGAUAACACUUGGAAACAGGUGCUAAUACCGUAUAACAAUCUAAACCGCAUGGUUUUGAUUUGAAAGCCGCUUUCGGGUGUCGCUGAUGUAUGGACCCGCGGUGCAUUAGCUAGUUGGUGAGGUAACGGCUCACCAAGGCCACGAUGCAUAGCCGACCUGAGAGGGUGAUCGGCCACAUUGGGACUGAGACACGGCCCAAACUCCUACGGGAGGCAGCAGUAGGGAAUCUUCGGCAAUGGACGAAAGUCUGACCGAGCAACGCCGCGUGAGUGAAGAAGGUUUUCGGAUCGUAAAACUCUGUUGUUAGAGAAGAACAAGGAUGAGAGUAACUGUUCAUCCCUUGACGGUAUCUAACCAGAAAGCCACGGCUAACUACGUGCCAGCCGCCGCGGUAA